AAAAAUCAGAAUUCCUUCAUUUUGCUAGCUUUCUUUCUUUCUCUCUCUAAAACCCUUGUCCUAAAAUUCUCUCUGCCUUCUCUCUAGAUUUUCUCUUUGUUGAAUCGAUCAAAUUUUGAUUUGAAGGUGUUUCCGCGCUCGCUGCACCAAGGGCUUCAGUUUGAACCGAACGUUUUUCCAUUCCGAUCGGUGCUGUCAAACUCGCCUCUGUGGGGAGGACUGCUAGAGCGUUCCUAGGAGUGGUACUGUUAAGCUUUCCAGGAUAGAGGAACCUUAAAAACCUGAGUUGGCACAUCCCUGAUCAUAGAGCAGCCCUGGCCUGGUCCAGUCAGUUGUGACUAGUCAUAUGUGUUGGCGUCGAAGGUGAGUUUGAUGCGUUCAGACAUCUGGUCCUCUCCGGUGACCAAUUGGGGUAAAGAAAGAUCUCUACUAGGAUGAAAAUAAAAUAAAACAAGUUGAUCGUAGAUGCAUAAAGUUAUCAUGUGUUAAUUUCUAGUCAAUUAUAAUUUUAGGAAAUCAAUCACUGUGUGUUUGGAAUUUAAAGUAAGG